GCUGGGCAUGGUGGCGCAUGCCUGUAAUCCCAGCUACUCAGGAGGCUGAGGCAGGAGAAUUGCCUGAACCCAGGAGGUGGAGGUUGCGGUGAGCCGAGAUCGCGCCAUUGCACUCCAGCCUGGGUAACAAGAGCGAAACUCUGCCUCAA
rnacentral:SRP_RNA from 1 species